rfam:Ictidomys tridecemlineatus contig016043, whole genome shotgun sequence.
AGGGUUGUAACUCAGUGGUAGAGUGCUUGCCUCUCACGCAUGAGGCUCUGGGUUCGAUCCUCAGCACCACAU